rnacentral:rRNA from 1 species
AUUGUGACCCCAGGUCAGGCGGGACUACCCGCUGAGUUAAACCAUAUCAAUAAGGCGAGGA